GCUGCCGGGGGCUGACGGAGGGAAAGCUGGCGGCGGCGCAUGCGCGUUGGCAGGCUCGCUGUAUUCACGAAUCCGUACCCGUCCUUGUAAACGGGCGGCGGAGGCGGAAUGGGGUGCGGGGUGGCGUGCGCGUGAGGCCGAGGCGGAGCUGAGCCGCCCUGCAGGCAAGCGGAAACCCGGGGGUGAGCAUCGCACCUCCCAGUGACGGAUACCAAGCUCCCUGCACCCCAUGUACUCCCAGAUGGUUGCAUGCUGUGAAACACACAUGAUAGUCUGUGCUGCUUGUCUAGCACCAAUGGGGAUGACUGUGGUGCUACAUAUUACUGUCUUGUCUUUUUCAUCCACUUCUCCUUUAAUGCCUUGAAGUGGAAAUGAUUAUUAAACAAAACUACCAUCAUGCUCUUCAUAUUGUAUAUGGUGUGUUUGGAAUGUACCUAGUAUGCCCUACACAAUACCAGCAACUAAUAGUAAUUUGUUGUUACAGCUGUGCAUGGUUUCUAUGUAAGUAAAAAGGUAGACCCUGUCCCAAAGUGUUUGUUAUCCAUUAAAGCAAAAUGCAAUGAAAGGGGUAACAGAACACAGGGGAAUGUGCAUUAGGUCAAAGAACAUCUUGUUCUGGAAACACUGAGGUUUGUGGUCAUUCUGAGGAGUUCCACAGUCCUGGGUAGUUUGCUUAGAAAUCUCUUCCUCCUGCACAAAUAAAUCCUUUUUUUUUUUUUUUUUUUGAGAUUGACAAAUUCCAUUGUUGCAAUGGAACAAAGUGGACCUGCUCACAUAGAGUGCACGUAAUGAUUAAUCAUAUGUAGCACCUUUUAUCCCAAACACUCAUGAUCCACUUCAAACAAUAUAUGUUUAGCGUCACUAAAAUGCAUCUGCCAAUAAGCUUGAAGGUGGCAGUCAGGUGGCAUGUUGUAUGAUGUAGAAAAACAAGGAGGAGAAAUUAUUAGAGCGUUGGGAGUCAAUCUCUACUCUUACAAAAAUGUUAUGGGAUCUUAAUAAUCAUACAGACAUGGAUACAGCCUUUAUUGCAUGAUGCAGUUCAACUUUUUUAAUGUUUAUACUGACUUCUAGUGUAGUAAUAAUAUAUAAAUCAGUAUUAUUUAGUAUUUGUAGUGCUUAGGGGCCAGAGUUAUAGACCACGACUUCAUUGUGCUAGGUGCUGUACAGACACAUAACAAAAAGACAGUUUCUGCUCCAGGUGGCUUACAGUCCAAGAAUGAGACAAGAGAGGAUAGAUGGAUAUAGACAGAUGGGGGAGUACAAGUAAAUAAUGAGACAUUAUUGGUCAGCAUGGUAGGCAGUAGUCUGUGCACACUAGCAGCCUAACCAUUAUCAUGUUUUCUGUAAGCAUCACAGCAAAAGGGAGGGAUUCUGAGGAGGGAUUUGAAGGUGAAUAGUGAGGUAGUUUUGCAGAUGUUUAGAAGGAGUGCCUUCCAAGUGUUUAGGGCAGCAUGAGAGAAAUAGUAUACUGGAAAAAACACACAUUUCAGAUAUUUGAGUCCGAAAGUAUGACAACUUAGUGUGGCUCUGGGUUCAGUUUCCAGUUUUGCCAAAGACUUCCUGUGUUGCCUGAAAAAGUAACUUAACCUUUCUUUGCCACAGUUCACUAUUUCUAAAAUGGGAAUAAUAAAACUUCCUUUCUCCCACACUUUGACUUGUCUAUUUAGAUUGUAAGAUUUUUGAACUUGUCUCGCUCUACACACAGUUUUUGUGCUAGUAUAACUUUCAAUUAGGGAUAUAAUAUUAUGUUUUUUAAACAAAUGGUUAAAAUAGUAUGUCCCCUAAUGUGGACCCUUUUCUUGGUAUAAAGGUGCCUUCUGUCAUUGUAACUUAUUCCCCUUCCUGUAUGGGAAUAGCUAAACUGUUGUAAAGCACCUUUAUACUGAAAUAAUUGGGUCCACACUUGAUGGGUUAUGCUACUCUCACUGUACCAAUGUAGUUAAACCAGUACAACUUUUGUGUUUAAAAUCCUUGUGUGUGUGUGUGCUGCAUCUGGCACAUUGGGACUCUGAUAUCCGUUGGGGCUCGUAAGCACUACACUAAUACAACUCUAAUUUUUGUUAUAUAUUAUUUGUAUUGCUCUUAGCAAAAAUUAAUGGUAGUCUGCCAAAUAAAAAUACUUGAUAGGCUGAA